CGUCCCCCCAACUAUGGAAGCGAUGACAAUUCCCAGAACCACACAGCAUAUAAUAAUCAUUAUUUUCUUCUGUCAAGUGUUAACAAUUGCAGAUAAACAGUAAUCCGUGGCAGCACAUUGGGAAAAGAGAAGAACAUGUUAUAAGAUUUCUGAGGGUCUCAUCCGAGUCCAACUGCGAGGGAAAUAAUGAGGACCGUCAGACAUGCUGCAAUACAACCUCCUAUCAGGAUCACCUUCUGGAUGGAGCAAAUGGGAGGAGAAACAAGGCGUACUGAGUGCCAGAUAAUAAUUCAGUGGUUGUAAUGAGAAAACGAAAGAGAAACCGAGAAAGAAGGAAAUAAUAAAGAGAGAGAGAGAAA